rnacentral:rRNA from 1 species
UACGUAGGGUGCGAGCGUUGUCCGGAAUUACUGGGCGUAAAGAGCUCGUAGGUGGUUUGUCGCGUUGUUCGUGAAAACCGGGGGCUUAACCCUCGGCGUGCGGGCGAUACGGGCAGACUUGAGUACUGCAGGGGAGACUGGAAUUCCUGGUGUAGCGGUGGAAUGCGCAGAUAUCAGGAGGAACACCGGUGGCGAAGGCGGCCUGCUGGGCAGUUGCUGACACUGAGGCGCGAAAGCGUGGGGAGCAAACGGG